rnacentral:lncRNA from 1 species
CCCACGUCCCCACAUUGUCAUUGGAGAAAUUAAAUAAGUAUAAGAAAAAAAAAAUUGUAUAAGAAAAAAUAUUGAAUAAUAAUUUCCUGUCAAUAUACAUAGUAUGUCCUUAUUAUCUACAAAAUUUCAUGAAAUUCUGUUGUGUGUUUUCAGAGGAGUUGAGAUGACAAACUGUUGCAGAAGUACAUUGAAGCAAAUAAGUUCAAAGGGGCAUAACUCCUAGAAAAAAAAUUGAACCGUAAUUUCCUGUUGAUAUGCACAUCUACAUAGUAUUUCCUUAUUAUCUACAAAGUUUCCUGAAAUUCUGUUCUGUGGUUUGAGAGGAGUUGCGAUGACAAACUGUUGCAGUAGUACAAUAAAGUAAAUAAGUUCAAAGGGGCGUAACUCCUAGAAAAAAAAUUGAAUCGCAAUUUCCCGUCGAUAUGCACAACUACAUAGUAUGUCCUUAUUAUCUGAAAAGGUUUCGUGAAAUUCUGUUGUGUGGUUUGAGAGGAGUUGCGAUGACAAACUGUUGCAGUAGUACAUUAAAGUAAAUAAGUUCAAAGGGGCGUAACUCCUAGAAAAAAAAAUUGAAUCGCAAUUUCCCGUCGAUAUGCACAACUACAUAGUAUGUCCUUAUUUUCUGAAAAGGUUUCGUGAAAUUCUGUUGUGUGGUUUGAGAGGAGUUGCGAUGACAAGAAACAGGACUGACGGACGGACGGACGGACUGACGGACGGACGGACGGACGGACGGACGGACGGACGGACGGAC